rnacentral:rRNA from 1 species
GAUUGGUGCCUUCGGGAACUCUGAGACAGGUGCUGCAUGGCUGUCGUCAGCUCGUGUUGUGAAAUGUUGGGUUAAGUCCCGCAACGAGCGCAACCCUUAUCCUUUGUUGCCAGCGGUUCGGCCGGGAACUCAAAGGAGACUGCCAGUGAUAAACUGGAGGAAGGUGGGGAUGACGUCAAGUCAUCAUGGCCCUUACGAGUAGGGCUACACACGUGCUACAAUGGCAUAUACAAAGAGAAGCGACCUCGCGAGAGCAAGCGGACCUCAUAAAGUAUGUCGUAGUCCGGAUUGGAGUCUGCAACUCGACUCCAUGAAGUCGGAAUCGCUAGUAAUCGUAGAUCAGAAUGCUACGGUGAAUACGUUC